UCAAACGGAUUCGUUGGACAAUAAAGCAGACUGUAAACGGAUGGGGUUGUAGGCGCCCUUAUAAACACAAACAAUAAAUAAAAAACAGGAGCGUACUCCGGCAACAGGAGCAAGCAGUGAGUCCAGUUCUGCUGUGCGUCCCUUUAGCAGCUACUAUAGCCAAGCCUCUGCACUACUUGGUGCACCUGUCCCUCCACAAGGACCUACAGAUGCUGGUCUUGGAUCACCUCGCAGUCCUGCCUUUCCUGGACCGGUGUCAGUGGGUUAUCCUGCACAUCCACUGGCUGAUCAUGUACAAGUAAUUAUGAGGGCACCCUGCCUCGGUCAGAGACUGCCCGUGUGUUGAAACAUAAAAGGGCAAGAUUUGGAAAUGAGGAAGCAGUGGAACAGCAGUAGUAAGAGCAGCAUCAGCAACAAGAACAGAAACACAAGCAACAGCAUCAUCAGUGUCGUAUCCUCUCGAUGCAGUGACAUGGGAUAAGGCCACAGGUCAAGGGUCAAGUUAUAGCAGUGAACAUGGCACCCUACUGCACUGGUGAGACAGCAUUGGUGACACUGCAGUGGAGGAAAAUGAACAGAGAUAAUAUACUGCCAGGAACACCUUGAUUCAUUUGGAAUUUACUGUGGAAUCGAAGGGAGAAGAGAUACUGUACCUGUGCAUGUAGUUGGAGGCCCAGUGCCUGGUAUGCCCAGAAUGAUUAAUCAGCCACAGCAACGUUGGCCUGCUGUAGGUAAGGGGUAACUCUCAACUUUCUCUUACUGUCCUUUUUUCUAAACUUUUUAUCACCUUGCUCUUUCCUAUGUUCACUUUUAAUUUUCUCCUCUUACAUACCCUCCCAAAUUCUUAAACCAACCUUUGCAACUUCUCUGCUUUAAUAGCCAUCAAUAUUUCUAUGUUAUUACUAGAAUAUCCACCAAUCUUCAUAAUUUAGUUGCUAGAAUAACCUUAAUUUUUCUUUGUUAAUGUCUAGAAUAGCUUUCAAUUUUUCAAUGUUCAUCACUCCACCAGCCUUUACUUUUAUUGAAAAUAUGGAUAACACUAACGUAUCUUGGUCACAGCAUAAUGUGAGAGGCAUCUGUAUUACAUAAGCCCAGCUAACUUUACCUCAGUCAAGCAAAAUGAAUAGUGCAGAGUGGUGAUAAGUUGUAACACAAACUUAAAAUAUGUAUGCAUGUGUGUGUGUGUGUACGUGUGUGUGUGCGUGUGUGUGUGUGUGUGUGCAUGUGUGUGCGUGUGUUUGUGUGCGUGUGUUUGUGUGCAUGUGUUUGUGUGUGUGUGCGUGUGUGUGUGUGUGUGCGUGUUCUGUUAUGCUUGCCUAGUUCAAUUUCUGGGGGUCAAGGCAAAGCUCCUGGCCCUGCCUCCUAGAUAUAAUACAACUGUAAGGAAAUUUUCAUCCCAGCUUUUGUAUAGCAUAUAAAUGAAAAUUUUGAGUAUGUUAGGCAUCGUUUGUUCCAGAAUCCACUUUGAUUUCUGGUUAGUAGGUUAUUAUUGUCUCAAACAUUAAUUAUCUGUAGAUACAUGGUUCAGAGAACCGACAAAUUGUAAAUUAGACACACGUGCAACACUUGGGUAUUUUUAUUGAGGAAAUGUUUUGUCAGAUAGUGGCUUCAUCAGUCCAUACAGAAAAGAAUGGUGAAGAACAGGAGGAGUUUGAGGUAAUCAGUCCCUCAGCCUUGAGUUGAUGUAAUCAGUCCAUCAAUCUUGAAAAGAAUGACGGACUUGGCCUUGAGUCGAUUACAUCAACUCAAGGCUGAGGGACUGAUUACCUCAAACUACUCCUGUUCUUCACCAUUCUCCUUUGUAUGGACUGAUGGAGCCACUGUGUGGCAAAAUGUUUCCUCAAUGAAGAUACCCAGGUGUUGCACAUGUAUAUUAUUAAUUACAGUGGACCCCCGGUUAACGAUAUUUUUUCACUCCAGAAGUAUGUUCAGGUGCCAGUACUGACCGAAUUUGUUCCCAUAAGAAAUAUUGUGAAGUAGAUUAGUCCAUUUCAGACCCCCAAACAUACACGUACAAAUGCACUUACAUAAAUACACUUACAUAAAUGGUCGCAUUCGGAGGUAAUCGUUAUGCGGGGGUCCACUGUAUUUUGUCUCUAAUAAUAAUUUCCAUUUACCAAAAAUUAUUAAGCUGAUAGGACAAUAAUUGAGGCCACAAGUCUUGUCUCCCUACUAUAAAUCCUAUUAAUUAUAAAAUUUCUGGCUACCUCUUUUAUAAUAAUGUAAAAUAAUAAAUAAUUAAAAUUUGCAACUCCAUAACCUGUGUCUAGUUUUAAGUAGUCUGUGAGAAGUAGGAUUAGUCUGCCCAAAAUGCUCAGGCAUGCGAGUCGCUUUCUUUGUGCUUAACAAUACUUUAUAACAUGUAAAUAUUUAGGCUGUCACUACAGGUGGGAAUAUUAGUAUGAGGUAGCCUGUAGACUGCACCAGCUAUAAUGGGAGUCUUUAGUUUUUUUAUUGAAAAGUUGGCAAUAAUAUAUAUUCCCCAUAUUCAUCGCUGAAACACGCAGAGUUACUACUUAUUAGUUCAUCAGAAUAGUAGACGCCGGGUCACCAUCUGGAGAAGACCCGGGGCGGAAGUGCCGGCAAAUCUUUAAUGAAUGAAGUAGAUGGCCAUUCAAAUACUUUAUUUCUUUUAUGCAGUGUACAUAGAAUCUACUUUACAAUUAAUACAAUAUUAUUGGACACAAAUGAAAGCAUGCAGUGCAUUUUGGGCAAACCAAUCCUAUGCUUAAAGACUACUUAUGAACUAAACAUAGAUUAUUAAGUAGGAGUUCUUAAAUGUACAAAUAAAGAGGUAGCUAAAUGAACAAUAGUACAAUUUUAAAAGUAUGGAUUUAUACUUCAAACUGGUUCAAUGGUCUUCAGUUAAGUAGGAUUUCUUAUGCAGUUAAAUACUAUUUUAUUUAUAGUGAGAAAAGGUCACAAAUGUAUGAAACGUAGUUUUAAGGUAUGAUUAGUUGUUUCAAACUGAACAAAAAGGCACAAUAUUGUGAUGAACAAUAAAAAAAUAACCCCCACAUAGGAGAGAGGAGCUUACGACUACGUCUCGGUCCGACUUGGACCACUACCAGCUUUACCUCUACCAUGACUACUUCCACUACCUGCCUUACCUCUACUACUUCCACUACCUGCCUUACCUCUAUUACAAAUCCUCUUCCUCCCACCUCUCUUGUCCUGUCCCUGUCAGCUUGCUUGUAUAUAUGCUGAUUUCUCCUCUCCUUUCUGUUAGUGUGGCUUUGCUAAUGGUCCAGUUCGGACCGAAAUGUUGUAAGCUCCUCUCUCCUGUGUGCGGGUUAUUUGUGUAUUGUUCCAAACUGAUUCCAUGUCUUCAGUUAUGUGGAAUGAUUGAGAGACAUGAGUGAAGAUACCGGAAGUUAUUUAAUUUCAGUAGAAAUAUAAUGGAACAAGAUGAGGCAUUAAUUUUUUAUAGGAGUUAUGAAUGUCUGUGUACCUAAUAAGGGCAAUGAUGUCUAAUGUGUCAGGUUUAAGCCAGGUUUCAGUAAGUAAAAUAAGAAAUGUUUGAAUUUAGAGAAUCUAGGAAGUCAUCAGAGUACUUGCUCAGGGAACCACAGUAUAUUGCAUUCAUAAAUAUACUAUGUCCAUAAAUGGCUUAAAUAAUAUGUUAAUAUGCUUGUUUGUAUUAGUACAUACUGUACGGCUUUUUAAAAGAUUUUUUUGAAGAAUUACAGGUUUGGCUAUGAUUAUGUAUAGGUAAUGAGGAUUCUAACAUAUAACAGUGUGAACACCUUCAAUGUUUUAAUGGCUGUGAAGAUUGCAGAUACUGAGAAUAAGAUUACAUUGUUUUACUUAUGUUUGUGAAUGAGAAUAUGGGUAGUUUUCACAAUUACCUGAUGUUGGGACACGUCAGGGAGAGGUGUUUUUUAACGGUAAUUUUGAAGAUGCUGUCUAACACUGGUUCUGGCAGCCUCCGUGUGUACCGUACAGACUGUUCAAUAUUCUUUCAUUUAAACCCUAAUCUAUAUGAACAAAAUAAAAUUUAUUACCCAAAUUGGUGUGUCAAUAAGCCUUCAGAUUAUCGUACGUUUUUUAUAUAAUAAUUUUUAUACAUAAUUUUAACGAAAAGCCUGUUUUUUUAUGAACACAAGGCUAAUAAUGAAAUUACAAUUUUGACAAAUCUUAUAAUAAAAAGAAUUCCAACAAAUACAAGGCUGUCUUAUGUUCACUGAAAUUUCAUUAUAAUUAAUAAAAUUCGAAUACAGUGGUCCCUCGCUUUUCGUAGUUCUCGGCAAUCGUAAAUUUCACCAAUCAUAGGGGUAUCUUCGUAUAAACAUGGACUCGCUUUUCAUAGGUUGACUCGCGAAUGGUAGUUCGUCCAGGACGCUUACGCACGGUGUGAGCCGGGGAGGCCUCCCUACCCAGCCAGUCUGGCAUUGUUUACCAGUGAGUGAAGGCCCUGUCAAGUGCUCCUACGAAAUAUUUCAUAAUAUUCCACUCAUUUUAGUGCUUGCAAGUACAGUGGACCCCCGCAUACCGAUUUUAAUCCGUGCAAGAGGGCUCAUUGGUAUGCGAAAUAAUCGGUAUGCGAAUGAAUUUUCCCCAUAAGAAAUAAUGGAAAUCAAAUUAAUCCGUGCAAGACACCCAAAAGUAUGAAAAAAAUUUUUUUACCACAUGAAAUAUACAUUUUCCUACACACAAAGAGAAGGAUACAUGCACAAUAGUAGAGUAGUACAUGCACAGUAUAUAUUGUGCAUGUACUAGUCUACUAAAUGAAGAAUGACACUUACCUUUAUUGAAGAUGCAGCAAUGACUGAUGAGACACUGUGUCCUGGGAGUGCCUUUUUCUCCUGAGUACUGUAGGUCCUGUUUGGCAUUUUCUUCCAGAACAGGCCUUAUCACACUGUGUAUGUCACUACGAUUCUUAAAUCUCUCAAACCAACCUUCGCUGGCUUUAAAUUCACCAAUAUGAGCACUAGUUCCAGGCAUUUUUCCCUGUUCACCUGGGUGUUAGUCGACUGGUGUGGGUUGCAUCCUGGGAGACAAGAUUAAGGACCCCAAUGGAAAUAAGUUAGACAGUCUUCGAUGACACUGACUUUUUUGGGUUAUCCUGGGUGGAAAAUCCUCUGGGGUUAAUUGUUUCUUGGUAUAUUCUCAAUAAGCCACACCAACAACAGUGCUACAGCAGCAGCAGACGAUGCUACAGCAGCAGCAGACGAUGCUACAGCAGCAGCAGCAGCUGACAGUGCUACAGCAGCAGCAGACGAUGCUACAGCAGCAGCAGCAGCAGACGAUGCUACAGCAGCAGCAGCAGCUGACAGUGCUACAGCAGCAGCAGACGAUGCUACAGCAGCAGCAGACGAUGCUACAGCAGCAGCAGACGAUGCUACAGCAGCAGCAGCAGCUGACAGUGCAGCAGCAGCAGCAGCUGUACCACCAAUAGUAGCGAUGGUUGAUUGGGGUUCAUUAUACAACCUGGCCAGCUUGGAGACACGCACUCCACUUUCAUACUUAUCAAUGAUCUUUUUCUUCAUCUCUAUAGUAAUUCUCACCCUUAUUGCUGUAGGGUUGGCACUAGAAGCUUUCUUGGGGCCCAUGGUCACUUAUUUUCCAGAUAAAAUCACCAAAAACACUGUAAUAAUAUGAAAUGUUACGAUUGUAUGCUUGGAUGCUACCGCGGAGGCUGGCUGGUAAACAAUGCCACCGGCGGAACAUGUGAGGCUGGCUAAGGCGCACAUUGGACGCGUCUCGGACGAACAGCGGUGAGCGGGUUUUUAAGCGGUAUGCGAGGCAAAAUUUUAGUGAUAAAAUGUAUCGGUAUGCGGAUUAAACGUUAUGUGAUGCCAACGGUAUGCGGGGGUCCACUGUACUAAAUAAGCUACCAUGGCUCCAAAGAAAGCUCCUAGUGCCAAGCCUGUGGUAAAGAAGGUGAGAAAUAUGUACAGUGACAAAGUCUUGGGCCAUUUUAGGGAAGUGUUAAAGAGACGCCAGAAACAGAGCUCUCUCCACAGUUACUUUGCGAGACAGGACUAGAGUGACUCUCAAGGUGGUCCUAGUGGCAUUAAGAAACAGAGAAGAGAAGCAACCCCAGAGAAGCAAUUGGUACCUGAGGUGUUGCUGGAAGGGGAUUCCCCUUCCAAACUGUAAACAAUCCAAUCUCUCUCCUCCUCCAGUCUCCCAUACACUAAGAAGAAUCUCCAAUAAAGGUAAGUGUUAUGCUGUUAAUGUUUCAUUCAUCAUUUCCCAUUGUAUUGUUUAUGUACUACAUGUAUAUUUCAUGUAAAAAAUUUUUUUGUUUUAAUACUUCUGAGUGUCAGAAACGGAUUAAUUGUAUUUACAUUAUUUCUUAUGGGGAAAAUUGAUUCGCAAAUCGUAAAUUUCGUUUAUAGUAGCUCCUCCAGGAACGGAUUAAUUACGAAAAACGAGGGACCACUGUAAAUGCAAACUAAUAAUGUUAUAGGGCUUAAAUAUGACGAUUUUACUAACAAUAUUCAGCAGUAAUGCUAAUACUAACACUGAAUAAUACGAACAAUGAAAUAGGACUGAUAGUACAAUUAUUGUAAUCAAGAGGGAAGCGCUAAACCCGUAAGAUUAUACAGUACCUGUGGGGGGAUGCGAAAGGUAUUCAGGCUUAAUUCAGGGUACUGGAGCAGAUACAAUUCCCUGCAUCAAGAACCCCUCACUAGCAUCAAGGAACCUUCCUUGAGGGGAUAAUACGAACAAAAUAAGACUGAUAAUAGCUCUUAAAUAUUACAGAGGCUUAAAUACGACUGAUGUCGGUAGAUUUAAUAGAGAAUUUAUUAAAGUUAACAAGGUUUUAGUUAUAUGGGGGCUGAAACAGGGAUGAUUUUAGUUCAAAGGUCGUCAUUUGGGCUGAUUUUAGUAAUGCAGGCUUGAAAUUUAAGCAAGUUUAUAAAAAAUAAAACUCGAACUAGGCCGAUUUAAAAAAAAAAAGGGGGCUGUUUUUAGCAAAAAAAAAAAAAAAAAAAAAAAAAAUGGAAUUUUGGCAAAACUGAAACUGGGCUGAUAGCAAAAUAUAACAAAUUGUAUCGACAUUAACAAGAUAGGACCGAAAUUCGACUGAUUAUAGGAAAAAAAAAGGGGGGGGGCUUAUUUUCCCUUGCUGAAAUUUGGUGAUAAAUUUCACGCAGUUUUGAAGUUGAAAUAAAAGCGAGUACUGGGCUGACAUUACAGUGAGUACUGGGCUAACAUUACAGCGAGUACUGGGCUAACAUUACAGCGAGUACUGGGCUAACAUUACAGCGAGUACCGGGCUAACAUUACACCAAGUACUGGGCUAAUAUUACAGCGAGUACUGAGCUAACAUUACAGCGAGUACUGGGCUAACAUUACAGCAGGUACUGGGCUAGCAUUACGGCGAGUACUGGGCUAUUACAGCGGUCAGUACGCUGAGGUCAGUGGUCACCUGCGGUCAUAUCUGCCUAAGCUCUUGGGAGUUAGCGUGGGCUGUUACCAAGCACCAUGGUUGGUUGUAGUGUUUUAGAAUCUCAGGUUCAAGUGUUGAAGAAGGAGAUUCUACUUCUUCAGGAGGAAAAUAGGAGGCUGAAGCUUCGCAUAGAUGAGUUUGGGAGCGAGUGUGAGAAGGAUUUAGCUGGUAAGGAAGGAAUGGUCACCAGCAGUGACAGUGGCAGCUGCUUUAAGUGGCAAGUGGUUCACAGUUCAGGAAGAAGGAAGAUGAGGAGAGUUAAUAAAGAAGAUGUGAAGGUAGGAAAUCGAUUCUCUGUUCUCCAAGACGAGUGUACUUCAGUGGUUAGUGAGGUUGAAGGUACCACUGAUUCCCCUGCUAAUCAAAGUAAGAAUAUUUUAAUAGUAGGCGAUUCUCAGGUAAGAUAUAUGGACCGUGCAUUUUGUAACAGAGACAGAAAGGUCAGACAGAGAGUGUGUCUUCCUGGAGCUGGUGUUGGUGAGUAAAAUCUCCACCACAUGAAUUAUCUUUGGCUUAUGUGAUAUUUCAGCUGCUUUGGGAAUAAAGACAGAUACUGCUAAUAGAAACUAAUGCUUUUCUAUAUAUCUGUUAAAUGUAAAACAACCUCAAUAGACCCUAUGUAUUAUUAUUAAUAAUAAUAAUAUUAAUUAUAAUAAUAAUACAUAAGGAAUUAUUAUUAUUAUAAUAAUAAUAAUACAUAAUAAUAAUAAACUGUUAUAUCUGGGCAUCUCUGCAAAGACAGUGAUUAUGCGUGAAUGAUGGUAAAAGUGUUUCUUUUUUUGGGUUACCCUGCCUCAGUGGGAGAUGGCCGAUGUAUUUAAAACACAAAAAUACCUGGUAGGGUGUUAUUAUUAUAAUAGGCACUGGGCAGGAGUUUCCCACCAGGUACCUAUUUAAUGAAAGAGCGUGUAAUGCCUUACACCUAAAAUUAUGAUGGGAGUACCAUUUAUGGGCCCACCAAUGCCUCUAUCUGAUAUGUAGCACACAAAAGUUUGUCAUCACAAAGCUGCCUCUUGACCUGUGUGAUAAACAUUAUUAUUACAUUCAUAGGGGAGCAUUAAACCUGUAGGGGUCAUAAGUGCCUGGAGGGAAUGGGAGGCAUUCAGUUUUGAUCAAAGGAAAGUAUAGGUCAAAUUCCUUGGAUCAAAAGUCCCUCACUAGCUUCAAGGAACCUCCAUUGAGAGGUGUGAUAAACAAUUCUCUCACUAAAAGGAGUAAUCUGGCACUGCUCAAUGUUGUGACCAACAUCUCUCCUACAAUUAAAAGAAAAUACUGAUUCCCUUUAGGCAAGGAGAUUUCUAUGCUUUGGUUUGGUGCAGUAAGAGGCUACCAAGAGUCACAUUGUAGGGUCCUCACCCUGAACACCACAUGGCAGUGCUCAUUAUAGACUUUCCUCAUCAUCCAAUGUGAAGUGGAUCUGGAUUCUAUCAGCGAUGAUACAAAGCUCUUCCUCAGGCACAUCUUGUCUGUUAUCCACCUGAUACUCCUAUGCCUUAAGGUCAUUUAAUGAAUACAAUGGAGGGGUGGGGAUUAUGUUCUGACACAAGUCCUGGGUCUCUUCUAGUGGGUCCAGGAUAUCUUCACCAUCUAGAUGAACAAAAUCUGCCCAAGUGUCCCACAAUGGGUAGACAAUAUAAUCAAUAAAGCCAACCUGUUGAAACAACAAUAAUCAGUCAAUCAUAAUAGUAAUAAUAAUAACAAUAAUACAAAGGAUCUACUGAGACUGUUGUAUAUUUACAAGUAUAGAGAAAAGCACUAGUUUCUAUUGGCAAUAUCUGUUAUCUGUCAAGUAAUUCUGGGGAUUACCUUCCCCACAGGCCAGUCUCAGACCAGGCCUCCUAGGCUGGAAAGAAAUAUUACAGGUUUAGGAACUAUUCAGAUGCAUAUAUGAAAUUAAUGUGUAUACUGAAUAUAGGUAGAAGUUUGUAAGAUUUACCUGUCAUCUUACAUGUUCAUGAGGCAGGAAGAAAAGAUCAACAAUCCUGCCCGAGUGAAAAAAAUGAAAAGGUUCCCAGUCUUGCAGUAGAGUUGUAGGCAACUGAAAUUCCAAAGUUGUAUCACUGAACUUGAUUUUUCUGUAGAUUUGAGGCGAGUUAAAGAGAAACAUUAGUGGGAAUGGUUGGGUGAGAUCUGGAUUGCUAAGCAUAGACAGGUAGGCCCAUGCUCUUAUGUUUGAUAAAUUCAGAUUUAGAAAAAAAUGCAGGAAAGAACAGGUUUAUCAGAAGAUUUGCAGAUGAGUGGAACAAUCUAUCAAGCUGAGAAGUGGUCCUCAACCUUCCUACGUAAGUGGGCCACAUUUGAUGGUCAAAUGUACGAUGAGAGCUACAUGGUUUUGAUGACACUGGGCAGUGUGGAACCUACAUAAAAGUGAAUUCAUAAUUUCAUGUGGGGGCUAUAUCCAUUUCCUAGAAGGGCCACAUAUGGCCACCCACUUUGGGUGGCUGUGAAAAUACACCUGAUAAAUAUACAAGCAUUCCUUCCACAAUUUUUCAAAACACUUCAUUUUACUUGUCUCCUGACUAGUUACUGUAUUAUGAUAAAUUAGACACUUACAACACCUGGGUAUCUUUAUUUUCAAAAUAUUAUGCCAACCAGUAACUUUUUCAAUUCACUGCAGACACAUAUAUGGAAAAGAGUAAAAGAUAAGGUACAGUAAUCAGUCUCUUAGUCUUGAAGGUGCUCAGUACAUAAGUCUUGAUAUAAUCUGAAGCACCUACAGGAAACAUUGAGAAAGCCACUGGCUGGGAAAAUAUCUUCAAAAUACAGAUUUUGCACGUGACUAAUUCAUCAACAUGUGAACACUGUAUAACACUGAUGUUGCACAUGUCAAAUUCAUCAACGUGUGGAUACUGUAUACCAUUGAUGUUAUGAUUACUGUAUGAUAUUUUCUCUCAAUUACAAAUGACUGUUGUAAAAUUCUAACUUUUUUCUUUUUUUUUCAACAAGUCGGCCGUCUCUCACCGAGGCAGGGUGACCCCAAAACAAAAAAGAAAGAAAAUCCCCAAAAAGAAAAUACUUUCAUCAUCAUUCAACACUUUCACCACACUUGCACAUUAUCACUGUUUUUGCAGAGGUGCUCAGAAUACAACAGUUUAGAAGCAUACACAUAUAAAGAUACACAACAUAUCCCUCCAAACUGCCAAUAUCCCAAACCCCUCCUUUAAAGUGCAGGCAUUGUACUUCCCAUUUCCAGAUAUUUGUAGAUAUUUGAGCAUACAAAGCAAGAUGAAUGUGUAAAAAUGAUAUAAUGUAUGUUGGAUGUUACUGUAUGUGGUGCCAGCAAUCAUUACUAUUUGUGACAAAUGUCAGUGAUCCCACUGACAUUAUCAAUCCCCUGAUUGGUCAGGAGUUUCCGUGUUUGUCGAUAAUUUAGUAAAAUUAUGAACAAGCACUAACUUAUCAUCAACCUGAAUUAUGCUGCUAUAUAUUUAUGCUGCUAAAUAUUUAACAAAUUGCUACACCAGCCGCCUGGGUAGUGUGCUGGCACCUGUGACAUGAAACUCAGUGACUCUACCAGAUACAUUCACUAAACCAUUUCUUUGCAUUGUCACUCAUUCUCGCUCUUUAUUAUAUUUUUUAUCAGUCACCAACAAACGUGGCUAUUGCAGAAUUCUACAGUGUGGUACACACUGCAUUGUAUAAAUAAUGUGUAAUUACUGUAAUGUGUUGUACAUUACUGCAGUCAAACCCAGGCUAAGCUGUCAGAGGACACAGAAUUUCCUCUUCUAGCUGUCUGAUACAUUCCUAUUAUAUAAAUAUGGGGAAUUAUAUUUUUAUCAGUGUAUUCAGCAUCAUUAUCAAUGGUGAUGCAACAAGCUGAGAAGGUCAACUGAGAGAGUUGAUUGGUGGUACGCAAGCAUUUCCAAUGAAAAAAAUAAUGAUCUUAAAAACCAACAUGAUGGUAAGAAGGAAACCAUUAGCCAGACUUGAGUCCUGGAGGUGGGAAUUACAGUGCCUGCACUCAGAAGGAGGGGUGGGGAUAUAUGCAGUGUUAGUGUAGUAUCAGUGCCCCUCUGGCAAGACAGUGAUGGAGUGAGUGAUGAUGAAAGCAUUUCUUCUUUUUUUGUGUCGCCCUGCCUUGGUGGAAGAUGGCCAAUUUGUUAAAAAAAAAAAAAAUGGUAAGAAGACACGAAGACACUCAUGUGGGACCUUUAUUGAAGAUGUUCUGACAGUGCAGUGAUAAUUAUUAUUUCAUAAACAUAUAACCUUUUUGCAAACCAAGACUUCAAAUAUUAUGCCGCAAGCCAAAGAAAAAAAAUGUCUUAAUAACAUCGAGAACAUUUGGCAUGUAGCUACAAAACCCAGUCCCUAAGUACACACUGAUGACAUCACUGUAUAGCUCCCUACUCGAACAAAGCUUGGCACUCGACCAAACAAACACGACCUGCCAGAACUUCGCUGUAAACUAUUUUGUGUUUCUUCGCAUUUUUUGGUGUUUUUUAUUUAUUUGUAUGAAUAAGUCACCAUGGGGCUUAGAAAGAUUAGUGAUAACAGCCAACCAAAAAGAAAACCAGUUGGGAAACUCGUUUGAUACUCGAAUAGAUCGGCACUCAAACAGCCUUCUGGAAUGAAUUAGGUUUGAGUACUGAGGUUCCAGUGUACUUAAUAAUCUACAUCUAGGUCUUAGGUACUCUUUAAGCAUGUUGUUCCCAAAAUGCACAGCAAGCUAGUGGCUUUCUUUUGUGCCUAAUUAUAUUUUAUUACUUGUAAACUACAUUACCCGUAUACUGCAGAAAAGAAAUAAAUUUAUUAUAUUAUUAUUUUUAUUAUUAUAAGUGCAAACCUAACUUUCAUAACAGAGUUAGGCACCAAGCUAAAUUAUAAUACUAUAGAUACUUGUCACUUACCUGGUAUACAGCUAUACAAAAAUGCAGACCUUAUCAACAUAGAGGUGGAGCUGCAGUCUAUUACAUAAAUGAGAUGAAAUAUAUUACCUCAACAUUACCACAGACAAACUUGGAAAUACUGUACAUAGUUGCACAACUUACAAACAAAAACUGAAACAUUCCAACCACAACAAAGUUGUCUACAGAUCACUACAUACCAAUAUAGCAAACUCUGGUGAUAUAUUUAAAAGCCUAAUCUUAAAAAAUAAACUAAAUAAACAUUAGGAAAUUGCUGGAGUCUUUAAUAUCAAUCUCAUUCAAUUAUAAGACCCACAAGUACCUGGUUUACCAAGGAACAUGUAUAACUGUGCAUAAUUACUUUUCUAGCACAAUGGCCAUCUUCCAACAAGGUAGGGUGACCCAAAAAAGAAACAUUUUCACUGUCAUUCACACUAUCAUUGUCUUCUGAGAGGUGCAUAGAUAUGACAUUUCAGAUGUUCAUCCAAGCAGCAAAUGUCUCCACCCCAGACUUAGAGUCCUGGAGGUGUACUUCCCACCUCCAGGAUUCUAAGUCUGGCUAACCAGUUUCCCUUAAUCCCUUCACAAAAUGUUACCUAGCUCACACUCUAACAGCACAUUGGGUCCAUCAAUAAUAAAGUCCAUAAAAAUUAAGAAGACAACUGCAAUUUCACUUAACGACAUCUGGAUACAACAACUCCUCUAGAAACAGACAUUAUCAAUGACAAUACAAGUAAUCAUUACCCCAUCUUCAGGGUCACCAAUGUAACAAAAUUAUCACUUGAGACUAAUAAAAUCAUCUUCAGGUUCCAUGAUGAGGCAUCAGUGAAUAACUUUACUACAACAAUCAGUAACAGUGGCUGGCAGUGUCCUCACCAGGAACACCAUACUAAAUAAGGACAAAUAUUAAAACAUAAUUGUUCCAAUCAGGAUUUACUGUUGAUACUAAGGAAACUCCAUUGGGAAGUGGACCAGAAUUCUUCCUUCGUAAGCCAUGCGUGUCAUAAGAGGCAACUAAAAUGCCGGGAGCAAGGGGCUAGUAACCCCUUCUCCUGUAUAUAUUACUAAAUUUGAAAGGAGAAACUUUCGUUUUUCCUUUUGGGCCACCCCGCCUCGGUGGGAUACUGCUGGUACGUUGAAAGAAGAAAGAAAGAAGAAAGACUAAGGUAACUUUCAUUUUUCCUUUUAGGUCAACCUCCUUGGUGGGAUACAGCCAGUUCAGUGAAAAAAAAAAAAGGAAAGACAGUGAUGGUGUGAAUGAUGGUGAAAGUGUUUCUUUUUCAGGUCACCCUACCUUGGUGGGAGACAGCCAGUGUGUUAAAAAAAAAAUAAGCUGAGGAGCAAAUAAAGUAAGAAUCAGUGAAGUGAACAUGAGGUUCAUCACAAUUCUAUUUCACACCCUUCCCCCUCAAUGCCUUACUAAUCUUAACAAAUAUCAAGUCAUUAAUUAAUGUGUUCAUAUAUUCUUACAAUAAAAAUUCAAAGCCUCUACAAUAAACAAUGUCAUUUAAGAACUUAGAUUAAGUCAUAAUAAAUGAUUGUCAAUGAAUAAACAGAAAGAUGGAUGGGAGACUCUAGCUGUGGUCCCAAUAUUGACAGGCUGAAGCGGUAAAUCACUGGACCUGUCAAUCUUGGGACCAUGGUCCAAACCUUCCAUUCACCUUUCUGUUUAUUCAUUACUUAAAAUCAGGUCACGAUAUAAAUAUUAAGUAAUUAAGUCCAUGGCUAACCAACAACAUCCUCAGAUCCACUGGCAAAAUGUAUUUACCAUAUAUGAAAAACAUUGUGAACUGGGCAUAAUAUACAUAGAGCCAUGAAAAAGAUACUGUACAUCAUCACACACAAAACUCAUCAAUAAAUUAAAAAAUUGCAUUAUGAUAACAGAUAACUGAAAAGAAUAAAAAGGCACAAUAAUGGCUCCCUUCCCAUCACGCUUCAAUGUGACUAGUUAAUGUUUCAAGACAGACUAAAAUAUUGUCAUAAGUUUCAUUUUUCUAUGCACAAGUUAUUUAUAUUUUUCAUUGUAACUAAAGAAAGUAAAAACACUGAAAAAGCAUUCUCUUAAUUAACCCUUAAACGGUCCAAACAGAUCGACGUUCAAAUUCGUAGUGCUACAAAAGUAGAUCUACUUUUUUUUACAUAUUUUCAAAUAUAACAAAAAAAAAUGUACAUAAAAGUUUUUUUUACAUGUUUUCAAAUGUAAAACAAAAAAAGAUCUACAUUUCUUUAUAUACUUUCAGAUGUUGAAAAAACGUAUAUAUACGUUUGGACCGUUUAAGGGCUAAAUACUGGGUUCAAGAACAUUCACUAAUAUCAAAGAAUUAUUUCUUUUAUAACACAUCGGCUAUUUCCCUCCAAGUCAGGGGUGACCUGAAAGAGAAGAAACACAUUCAUCAUCACUCACUCCAUCACUGUCUUGUCAGAGGUGUGCCAAUACUACAGCUCAAAAAGUGCAACAUAUCUCCACCCCUCCUUCAGAGUUCAAGCACUGUACUUCCCACCUCCAGGACUCAAGUCUGGCUAACCAGUUUCCCUGAAUCCCUUCACAAAAUAUUACCUUGCUCACACUCCAACAGCUUAUCAAAUCCUAAAAAUCAUUUGUCUCUACUUCUAACACGAUCACACAUGCCUGAUAUAUCUCGAAGUCCGUUUCACACAAAACCUCCUCCACCCUCUCCAUCCAUCCUGUUCUGUGACGAUCUCUACUCCGCCUCCCUACACGACAGAUUUAUACACCCUACAGGUCAUCUUAUUUUGCUUAUUUUACUCUCUAAAUGACCAAACCUCUUCAACAGCCCCUCCUCAGCCUACACACCGUACAUUUUUUUUUUCAACAAAUUGGCUGUAUCCCACUGAGGCAAGGUGGCCCAAAAGGGCAUUUAUUAAGGAAACACUUCACUACUGGUGGCUUCUUGAGUCCUAAUUAAGGACAGAAGCCACUUGUGCUGAAAUAUUUCCCUAAUAAUUGUCCUGAACAAUGCACAGUGGUCCCCCCAAAUCCAUGGGGUAAUGCAUUACAAGAGCUACCGCGGAUACCCAAAACUGUAGAUAAUAGCCAACCCUUUAUAAAAGUCUUUUCCAUUUGUAUACAUUUUGCGGCUUACAAGAUGCUCUGAUGCAUUAGACGCAUCCCAAUUUAGAAGAUAUUAAUCAGAAAAAAAAGUUGAGAGUGCCUAAUACCAAGUAAUAUUUACUCCACUGAAAGCUAUGGUAAUUUUACAUGCAGAAAUAAGGUUACAUUUGAUUUAUGGGUAGGUCAAAACAUAGGAUAGGCCUAGUGCUCACCUGAGCACCCCGAUGAUCUCUCAAUCUGAACUGGUGAAACAGUUGUCUGGGGCUGAGUUGCUGCUGUGUGCACAACUUUAUAUAGUGAGGCUCCCAGAGUGCAUACUGAUGCAUCUUUGUCAGUGACUAUCAGUACAAACAAAAAUGGCUGCUUCAGCUGUUGUUGGGCCACCGUAUUUGCUUGGCAAUAUUUGACACUAUAAGUACCAUAACAUAAGGUAAAAAUGAUUACCAGUACCUAGUAAUAAAGUGAAAAUACCCAGCAUGUGCUAACGAUACCGUAGAAUAUGGUAGCAAUAUUUUAAAGUUCCUACCAGAAAUGACGCUGCUUUGUGACUUCAUAGCUUAAGAAAUAAGAAAGGAAGGUGUUACUUAAGGAGGAAUUUCGUUUUCUGUCAAUAUACCAGUACAGUAUCUGUACAGUGGACCCUCAGCUAACGAUAUUAACCCCUUGACUGUUGCGGUCGUAUAUAUAUGUCAUGGGAGAUACCGUGUUUGAUCUAUACGCAUAAAUUCUAGCAGCUUCAAAUCAAGCGGGAGAGGGCUGGUAGGCCUACACAAGAGAGAAUGGGUCUCAGUGGUCGGUGUGCACCCUGUGAAAAAAAUCUGGGACUCAGCGGUGCAUUGUGGGAACGCCAUCUUGGUAGUCCAUUUUCACCAUGCCUCGCGGUAAGAAGUUCCUCACUCCUCGCGGAUUGGAGGUCUUUUGUUCCCAAGUGAUAGCUCAAACAGUGAUGAAAGUGUCAGUGAAAGUGAAUUCCCUGGUUUUGAAGCAGGUGUGACUGAAAAAAGUGCCCAGGAUAACAUAAUUAGUGAUGAAAACCCAGAUUCCCCACAACCUUCCACCUCUGGUGCUGGGCCGGCUCAUUCAUGUUCACCUGUACCAGGACGAAAGAGAAAACUAUUUGCCCGUGUACAAGACUCAGAUGUGAGCAGUGCAAGUGAUAGUGAUAGUGAUUUCAAGGUUAUUGAAAGCAGUUCUAGUUGUGACAGUGAGGGUGAAUAUUCCCCAGUGAAGUGGCAGUAUAUACGACAUCGCAUGCGGUCUGGUAGUGUGCCAUAUGCUCUUCCAAGAGGAAGGAGUAUAUCUCGGAGUACAUCUCGGAGCACAUCCCGUGGCCCUACACCACGUCCUGAUAGUGAAGAUGACGAUAUUGUUACGAUGGGUAUCAAUGAUGCAAGUGAGGCAGCAGGCGGUGGUGGUGAUAGUGAUGGUGGCAUGAGUCAUGUGACACCAGCAGCGGGCCACGCUACUACCUGCGCUGCUGACUCUGCACAACUACAACCAGCCUCACCCGACCCCACACUCCCACAACAACCACAACCACAACCUGCACAACCACAACCACAUUACAAUAUCCAGAACGCACCAGCUGACCGCAUCUGGGAUUGGCAGCAAGAUGACGAGUUUGUUCCCAAUCCCCAUGACUUUGAUGGAGGACAAAGUGGAAUACGGCCAUCAUGUACACUUGGGAACAAUCCCACCGAACUGGAAUGCUUUCAGUUGUUCUUCGAUGAACCCCUGAUGAACAUUAUUGUCAGGGAAAGCAAUACAUACUAUGAGUACACCAGGGCAAACACUAUUCUGUCACCAAGAUCACGCCUACACCAGUGGAAGGACACAACUGUGGCAGAGAUGUAUCUGUUCUUUGCCACAAUAAUGCUUAUGCCACAUGUGUAUAAGCAUAGUGUCAACACAUACUGGGCGACAGACCGCCUGAUUUCAACCCCUGCUUUCAGUGACAUUAUACCAGUGAAUAAAUUUGUGUUACUGUUACGUAUGUUACACUUUUCAGACAAAACCAGGCCUGACAGA